rnacentral:lncRNA from 1 species
ACCUUAAUGAAACUCUUCACUCCUAGAUCUCAAGCCCUCUUCCCUCUUAGAAUUCAAGCCCUCCUCACUCUUGUCAGUACAAAGCAACAGACAUAAUUCACUCUUGUCAAUAUUUCGCAACAGAGAUCAUUCACUCUUGUCAAUAUUUAGCAACAGAGAUCAGCAAUUAGAAAAUCGGUGGCUAUCAUGUUGAACAACACUCGAUGACUUAUAACACAUAUCGUCUGAGCAUACAUGGUAGUAAUCUCCUUGCUGAAGAUAUCAUAUUAAUUUUUAUUUAUCAAUGCCUGUGUGCGAAGCCUAAAGGUCGAUGCUGAGUCUGCGAACAAGUAGCCAGCUAGAUCAAUUGCUAUGUUACCGAUAAUUGAACGGUCGUCUGUACACGACUUGAGUAGCUACGUUGACUUUGGGUGUAAGCGAACAGCACCAACUCGGAGUCCUCAUUCUAUCCCGACCAUCGGCUCGCUGCAUUCCGAACUCCCUAGCGGAUUAAUCCAUCCAGCCAUGCCA